rnacentral:misc_RNA from 1 species
UCUCUCUCUCUCUCUAUAUAUAUCUUUCUUUCUUUCUUUUCUCUAUUGAAAAAAAAAUUCAAAUUUUAUUUCAAAAUAAAUUAAAAAAACAAAGAAAGAAAAACAAAAAUAAUGGGAACCAUUGUUGAUCGUAGAAGACGUUUAUCUUUAAAUCAAAAAUCAAAUAAUUAUUUAUAUUUUUUAUUAUCAUUUUCAAGAAGAAGAGGAAGAAUUUCUAUUAGUAUAUUUAUUACUGAGAUGAUAUUUAUGCAUAUAUACAUAUUCCCAAAUCUCACCACCGCACAUCUCAAUCAUACGCACCAAUUGCUCGCACAAACACACCAUCAUCAUCAUCAUCUCAUCUUUGAUUUUCUUUUUUUCUCAAAGCUUGCAGGGACCCAAAGAGACUGUGUGAAUCCAUCAAUCUUGAUGUUCUCUCUAUUUUCCUCAACUGAGCUUCAUCGCUGCUUCGAUUUCGAUUCCGAUUUCGAUCUCCUUCUUUUUCCCUAUGUCUGAUUGUUAAUUUCAAUCUGGUAGCUUCGGCUUCUAGGGUUUUCAUCAAUGGAUGGAAGUGGAAGUGGUAGUGCUGCUGCUGCUGCUGCUGUUACUGGCUCUGUGGAGGGAGAGAAGAAGAAGCCUCCUGAAGGAGAAGUUAAGUCUAAGCGGAAAAUGAAGACUGCUUCUCAGCUGGAGAUUCUCGAGAAAACUUAUGCUGUGGAGACGUACCCAUCAGAGUCGUUGCGGGCUGAGCUUUCAGCUCAAUUAGGGCUCUCUGAUCGCCAGUUGCAGAUGUGGUUCUGUCAUCGGCGUUUGAAGGACAGGAAGGCGCCGCCGGUGAAGCGCCAACACAAGGAUUCACUAGCGCCUUCUACAACACCAGCUGGUGAGGAAAUAGGGGCAAUGACUGAGGUUGGAAAUGAACUUGUGUCAGUAUCUGCUUCAGGGUCGAGUCCAUUUGGUCAUGGGAUGGAUCCACGGCGGCUGGUUGCCAGGACCCCUGGAGUGGCUGUUCCGAGGAUUGGUGGUGACAUGUCAGCAAUGAAGAGGUACUAUGAACCGCAGCAGUCCGUAGCUGAGCUUAGAGCCAUAGCAUUUGUGGAAGCUCAGUUGGGGGAGCCACUGAGAGAGGAUGGACCAAUUCUUGGAAUGGAGUUUGAUCCCCUGCCGCCAGAUGCAUUUGGCGCGCCUAUAGCUACAGUGGGGCAGCAGAAGCAGCCUGGCCGGCCUUUUGAGACCACUGUGUAUGAGCGACCUGAAUUGAAACCCGUCAAGGGUGCUACAAGACCUCUGCAUGAAUACCAGUUCCUUCCACAGCAACCAACUGUCAGAGGAGAUGCAUAUGAAAGAGUUGCCUCAUCCUACCAGUAUGGUACGCCACCUGACAGUCAUAAUGCCAAGACUGCAGCAUCAUCAACAGCGCUCCAAUUCAUGCAUGCAAAUGAGCAAGUGUCCCCUGGUUAUGGUUUUCCAAGUCAGUUGCCCAGUCUAAAUCUAAUGCCCCAAGAAGGCAGGCAAAACCACUUGUUGCCAUCUGCUACAGCAGAAUAUGAUACUGUAAUGCGAAAAAGCUCCUUCACCAAUGUUGGUGUGGAUGCGCAAUUUGGUGCUCACCCAAUUACUGCAUUGGACAAUCCAUUUAUGCCACCUGAUAGGAGGGUUACCCAUGAUGAGGAUGUUUUGCGCAUUGAGAGGAAGCGGAAGAGUGAGGAGGCAAGGAUAGCACGUGAAGUUGAAGCUCAUGAGAAGAGGAUCCGAAAAGAGCUUGAAAAGCAAGAUAUCUUGAGACGAAAGAGAGAGGAGCAAAUAAGGAAAGAAAUGGAAAGGCAAGACCGUGAAAGGCGGAAGGAAGAAGAAAGAAUUUUGCGUGAAAAACAGCGAGAAGAGGAGAGGUACCAGAGGGAGCAAAGGCGUGAACUGGAGCGAAGGGAGAGAUUCUUGCAGAAGGAGUCCAUCAGAGCUGAGAAAAUGCGACAAAAAGAAGAACUACGCAGAGAAAAGGAGGCAGCAAGACAAAAAGCUGCUAUUGAGAGAGCCAUUGCACGCAGAAUUGCUAAAGAGUCAAUGGAGCUAGUUGAGGAUGAACGCUUAGAACUCAUGGAAUUAGCUGCUUCAAGCAAGGGAUUGCCUUCAAUACUUUCUCUUAACUUUGAAACUCUGCAGAAUCUUGAUUUGUUUAGAGAUAAGCUGGUUAGGUUCCCUCCCAAAUCUGUGCUAUUAAAGAGGCCUUUUGCAUUUCAACCUUGGAGUGAUUCUGAGGAGAAUGUAGGGAAUCUUCUAAUGGUUUGGAGGUUCUUAAUUACUUUUGCAGAUGUUCUUGGGAUAUGGCCAUUCACUCUGGAUGAGUUUGUCCAAGCAUUUCAUGAUUAUGAUCCAAGGCUACUAGGUGAGAUACAUUUUGCACUUUUGAGAACCAUAAUUAAAGAUAUUGAAGAUGUUGCAAGGACACCUGCCACUGGGUUGGGUGCAAAUCAGAACAGUGCUGCUAAUCCUGGAGGUGGACAUCCACAGAUUGUGGAAGGGGCGUAUGCAUGGGGUUUUGAUAUACGCAGCUGGCAACGUCACUUAAAUCCGUUAACAUGGCCUGAAAUAUUGCGACAGUUUGCCCUUUCUGCAGGAUUUGGGCCACAGUUGAAGAAAAGAAAUGUAGAGCCGGCAUACCUUCGUGAUGAUAAUGAGGUUAAUGAUGGUGAAGAUGUAAUUACUAACUUACGUAGUGGAGCAGCAGUUGAAAAUGCUGUUGCCAUAAUGCAAGAAAGGGGAUUUUCUAAUCAACGCAGAUCUAGGCAUCGCUUGACACCUGGUACUGUCAAAUUUGCUGCGUUUCAUGUUCUUUCUCUUGAAGCAAGCAAGGGUCUGACAAUAUUAGAAGUUGCAGAAAAGAUACAGAAAUCUGGACUAAGAGAUCUCACAACGAGCAAGACACCAGAAGCUUCAAUUGCUGCUGCUUUGUCAAGGGAUUCAAAACUUUUUGAGAGAACAGCUCCUUCAACGUAUUGUGUGCGUCCUGCCUAUAGGAAGGAUCCAGCGGAUGCCGAGCCAAUACUUUCUGCAGCCAGAGAAAGGAUCCGGAUAUUUAAAAGUGGUUUUGUAGAUGGAGAAGAUGCUGAUGAAGCAGAAAGAGAUGAAGAUUCUGAAAGUGAUGUUGCAGAUGAUCCUGAGGUUGAUGAUUUUGGUACUGACUUGAACCCUAGGAAAGAGGCUUGCAAUUCUCCAGAAGCAAACAAAUUUAAUGCAAAAACUCUGUUUGAAAAUGGAAAGGAGGAUAGUGAUGUCAUCAGGACUCCACAAGUUGGCCUUCAGAAUGUUGGUGAGGGUUUUUCUUCAAUGCAUUCUGAAGGCACUAAUGAAGUAAACGAUGUUGGUGCUUCCAUUGAUCAAUCUGGAGACUUUUCUGGUAUAUCCACUAAUAUUGAACAAGAUGCAGAUAUUGACGAAAGCAACCUUGGUGACCCAUGGGUUCAGGGACUGAUGGAGGGGGAGUACUCUGAUCUGAGUGUUGAGGAGCGCCUUAAUGCACUUGUUUCAUUGAUUGGUGUGGCAAUUGAAGGAAACUCAAUCCGGCUUGUUCUCGAGGAACGGUUAGAAGCAGCGAAUGCUUUGAAGAAGCAAAUGUGGGCGGAGGCGCAACUUGAUAAACGCCGUAUGAAAGAAGAAUAUGUGAUGAAGAUGCAUUAUCCAUCAUUUACUGGAAGUAAGGUGGAACCUAGCCUUACAACAUCUACAGCAGAGGUUCGGCAAAGCCCAUUAGUUACUGUUGAUGAAAAAAUGAAUGAGAUGUCUAUGGAUGCUGCCGCCCAGCAAGAACAAUCAACUGAUCCACAAAAUGACAUGAAUUAUCCGAAUAAUGUGCCUUCUGAAGGGAACAUACAAAUGCAAGAUCUCUCUGUUGGUCCUGAUAGUCUUCCGUGUCAGCAACCUGGACUUGCUGCAGACAAGUCAAGAUCACAGUUAAAAUCCUUCAUUGGUCACAAGGCUGAAGAGAUGUAUGUAUACAGAUCAUUGCCUCUUGGUCAAGAUCGCCGACGUAAUCGAUACUGGCAGUUUAUAACAUCUGCUUCUUGCAAUGAUCCUGGAUGUGGCAGGAUCUUUGUUGAGUUACAUGAUGGUCGUUGGAGGCUUAUUGAUACUGAACAGGUAGCAGUUUUUUCCCGUUCACUUAUUUUCUUUACAGAUAUAUAUAUGAGCAAUACUAUGCUGAAUGUGUGUAUUGUGUGUGCAUUUGUGCAUGGUGUUGUAUCUGCAAUAUCCUGGCUGUGGCACACAUUUCUACUUUCAUAUUGUGCUAGAAUUUUUGAUGGAAGCAAAAGCAAGAGAUGUCUGCCACAUGCAAUAUCUAUCUUUUGCAGAGCUUGUAUGAUUUACUAAUCUUAACCCUGCAACAAUGACUGGUGCACCUUCUUCUGUCUUAUUUACCUUUUCCGCUUCCCCUUCAUCUUCCUUUCUUUUGGAACUACCCACAUAACACAUGCUUUUCUGUGCAUUCUUAUUGUCAUUUCUAAAAUUUGCAUGCAGGGUUUAGAUUCUCUGUUGGCAUCUUUGGAUGUACGAGGGGUUAGGGAAUCCUACUUGCACAUGAUGUUACAAAAGGUUGAGAUGUGCUUUAAGGAGGCUGUCAGGAGGAACAUGCUACGUGCUGAUAUGGAGAGACAAAGUGGGGGGAGUGUUAAAGCAGAAGCAGUUGAAAUGGUUACAGGCCAUAACUGUGGCUCCGGUAUUGAUAGCCCAAACAGUUCUGUAUGUGUUGUAGAUUCUGAUAUGUCUGAGACCACAUCUUUUUCUGUUGAGCUUGGAAGGAAUGAAACUGAGAGGAAUCAUGCCUUGAGGAGAUAUCAAGAUUUUGAGAAUUGGAUAUGGAAAGAAUGCUUUAAUUCUUCGACAUUAUGUGCCAUGAAGUAUGGGAAGAAAAGGUGUAGACAAUUGCUUGCUUUAUGUGAUUACUGCCAUGAUAUUUAUUUCUCUGAAGAUAACUAUUGUCGUUCUUGCAAUAAGACAUAUGAGCACUCUGGGAGUGACGUGAAUUUUUUCAAACAUGUGACUCAUUGUGAAGAGAGACUGAAGAUUGGGCUUGACUACAAUUUGCAUGGUUCAUCUUCUCCACUGAGGAUAAGGCUGCUUAAAUUGCAAUUAGCUUUGGUUGAGGUCUCUAUACUGCCAGAAGCUCUUCAACCUGUUUGGACUAAUAGUUAUCGAAAAUCAUGGGGAGCAAAGCUGCAGUCCUCAUCAUCAGCUGAAGACUUACUCGAGGUUCUAACGUUGUUGGAGGGCUGCAUUAAGAGAGAUUAUUUGUCCUCAAACUUUGAAACAACUAGUGAACUUUUAGGGUCAGACAAGCGGUCUGGAUUUGCUGCAAAUGAUUAUUUCAGAAUGGAAAAAGUUACUGUUCUUCCAUGGUUACCACGAACCACAGCAGCUGUCGCUCUAAGGGUCAUGGAGUUUGACUCAUCCAUUUCAUACACGCUGCAUCAAAAAGUGGAGUCUCAGAAGGACAGAGGCAAUGGAGACUUCAUUAAGCUCCCUUCCAAGUUUGCCAUUGUGAAAAACACCCAAGAUAAUGAAGCCGCUGAAACUCGUCAUCAAGCUGGAUUAUUGCAAGAAGAUAGUUGGGUUGAUGUAGCUGGAUUGAGUCGACGGGGGAGUCGAGGCCGAGGUCGUGGUCGUACCCGUGGGGGGAGAUCUCAGAGAAGGGUUACUGGUUCAAGAUCAGAAUCUGGCAAGAGAAGUGUGGCCACGAACAACGACAGAUUAGGGCAGGUGCUCUCAUGGAAAACACAAUCACGUGGUCGAGGAGGGCGUAAGCGGGGCCGUCGCAGCAUUAGAAGUAGGCAGAAACCUGUGAAGAGACCAGUUGAGACACAAAUCCCCAAAGAAACAAUCCAUGAGAAAGCACCAAGAAGGUUGGAAAGGGAUGACUGGAAUGGUGAUGAAGCAAGAUUCCAAGUAGACAAUGCUGAAAAUCUCAGCAGCUCAGAAAGAUCUGAGUAUGAUGAUGACAAUGGUCAAGCUACAGGAGAUGAAUAUGAUGAUCUUGCAGUGGAUGACUAUGCUGGUGGUUUUAAUGGCAAGUCCGAUGACUUGCUGGAGGGAAGUGAUUAUAAUAUAGAUGUCAAUGAAGAUGACGACGAUGACGAUGAAGUAGAUGAAGAUGAAGAUGAUGAACAAGGGGAUAUGGAAGUGGCAGGAUAUAUAAAUGGGGACUCGGAUGAGGAUGAAAUGAGAGAUGGAGAAGGAGAACAGAAUGGGGACCCAGAUGAAGGCAUUGGAUCUACAUCUUCAGAUUUCAGUGACUAGAGAAGUAAGCAAGCAUAAAAAAAUGUUAAAUGCACAAGAAAAGUUAUUUCUAAUUUGUAUUCUUUAGUGUUCUGCAGCGCUAACUGAACUUGAUGAUGUAUUUAUAGAAGAAAACAGUAAUUGUGCAUAGCUAAUAGCACCUCCACCGUACUUGAAAUUAAAUAUCAAUCAAUAGUCGUUUCUUCCAA